UUGUUAGUCUGUGCGCUUGUGGAAAGUAAUAUGUGAACGUGAAUUUGUAAUUUCAAGCCAUGCGGAUGAUGCAUUUAUAUAAAAUAUAUAACUUUUGCAUCUAAAAUAUUGUAUGAGUUUUGCUUUAUAUGAUGGGAUGGUUUGGAGCUUGUCUCACCACCAGGUUUGAACGAAGAAAAUAAGAAUAAAAGGGUAAAACUAAAUGUUACAUAUUGUGUGUGCAAAAACCAAAUGUCUGUGUGCAAACACAACACACACAAUAUGCAAUUGCAUGUUGU
rnacentral:lncRNA from 1 species